CAACCUCUGACGAUAUACGUGAACGUUG
ncrna:unclassified sequences L19-Flavobacteria ribosomal protein leader